rnacentral:ncRNA from 1 species
AGCAAUACCUCUCUAAAGAACUCGACAAAAUAGCCCCAUAAUUUUGGAGAAGGGUGCCUCCUCAUAAAAGGGGUCCUAGUGACCAGGCUCGAGCUACUAUGUACUAAAAACAUAGGUCUCCACAAAGCCUAAAGAUCAUGUAUGGGGGCUGACACUUGCUAGUGUCGGAGGGUCAAGGAAGUUGGUGACAUGAUGACAAGGGAGCUGGCAAUCGAAGCCCCGGUGAACAACAUCCAUAGUUAUAACAUUCCUAAGGUAACAAAAUUUCUUGUCAGGUAAGCUUCGACCUGCACGAAAGGCGUAACAAUUUGGGCACUAUCUCGGAGAGAGGCU